rnacentral:rRNA from 1 species
GACGAACGCUGGCGGCGUGCUUAACACAUGCAAGUCGAACGGAAAGGCCCUGCUUUUGUGGGGUGCUCGAGUGGCGAACGGGUGAGUAACACGUGAGUAACCUGCCCUUGACUUUGGGAUAACUUCAGGAAACUGGGGCUAAUACCGGAUAGGAGCUCCUGCUGCAUGGUGGGGGUUGGAAAGUCUCGGCGGUUGGGGAUGGACUCGCGGCUUAUCAGCUUGUUGGUGGGGUAGUGGCUUACCAAGGCUUUGACGGGUAGCCGGCCUGAGAGGGUGACCGGCGACAUUGGGACUGAGAUACGGCCCAGACUCCUACGGGAGGCAGCAGUGGGGAAUAUUGCACAAUGGGCGGAAGCCUGAUGCAGCAACGCCGCGUGCGGGAUGACGGCCUUCGGGUUGUAAACCGCUUUCGCCUGUGACGAAGCGUGAGUGACGGUAAUGGGUAAAGAAGCACCGGCUAACUACGUG